rnacentral:rRNA from 1 species
AGAGUUUGAUCCUGGCUCAGAACGAACGCUGGCGGCAGGCCUAACACAUGCAAGUCGAACGCCCCGCAAGGGGAGUGGCAGACGGGUGAGUAACGCGUGGGAACCUACCUAGAGGUGCGGAAUAGCCCAGGGAAACUUGGAGUAAUACCGCAUAAGCCCGCAAGGGGAAAGAUUUAUCGCCUUUAGAUGGGCCCGCGUCUGAUUAGCUAGUUGGUGAGGUAAUGGCUCACCAAGGCGACGAUCCGUAGCGGGUCUGAGAGGAUGAUCCGCCACACUGGGACUGAGACACGGCCCAGACUCCUACGGGAGGCAGCAGUGGGGAAUUUUGGACAAUGGGGGCAACCCUGAUCCAGCCAUGCCGCGUGAGUGAAGAAGGCCUUCGGGUUGUAAAGCUCUUU